AGUGAACGCUGGCGGUAGGCCUAACACAUGCAAGUCGAACGGCAGCACAGUAAGAGCUUGCUCUUACGGGUGGCGAGUGGCGGACGGGUGAGGAAUACAUCGGAAUCUACUUUUUCUUGGGGACUAACUUGGGAAACCUACCCCUAUUCCCCCAUCCACCCUCCGGUUAAAACCAGGGGACUUUCGGCCCUUCCCCAAUUGAUUGAGCCGAUGUCGGAUUAGCUAGUUGGCGGGGUAAAGGCCCACCAAGGCGACGAUCCGUAGCUGGUCUGAGAGGAUGAUCAGCCACACUGGAACUGAGACACGGUCCAGACUCCUACGGGAGGCAGCAGUGGGGAAUAUUGGACAAUGGGCGCAAGCCUGAUCCAGCCAUACCGCGUGGGUGAAGAAGGCCUUCGGGUUGUAAAGCCCUUUUGUUGGGAAAGAAAAGCAGCAGGUUAAUACCCCGCUGUUCUGACGGUACCCAAAGAAUAAGCACCGGCUAACUUCGUG
rnacentral:rRNA from 1 species